rnacentral:rRNA from 1 species
CUGCCAGAAUUCAUAUGCUUGUCCCGAAGACUCAAGCCAUGCAUGCCUAGAAGAAAAACUGACACCCAAAUGGUGCUGCGGGCCCUCCCAGGCUCGUUGGUGCCGACCGGGACUGUUAGGGAAUCAGCGAACGGCUCCGUAAAACUGUUGUCACCUAUCGUGGUAAAUACGGCGUGGAUAGAGCACGGAAAAGCUGUGUAUAACACAGACAAUUGGGGUCACCAAUCGCCCGUUAGCAUGGGCGAGCGGUUAAGCGGGCCUAUAACCAUGGGCCCCACCUCAUUAACGGCUCUUCAAGUACCCACGGGAAUUAAAAACCCCCGCGGCGAAACAGAGGACUCUGCCCCUGGAUUCUGUAAAGCGCCCUGACGGGUAGUCUUGCCGGGAUUUAUGCAGAGCCCAUCCACAAGCGCACGAUGGACUUCAGACCUAUCAGCUAGACGGUAGGGUAGUGGCCUACCGUGGCUAUGACGGGUACAGAGGAUUAGGGUUUGAUCCUGGAGAGGUAGCCUGAGAAAUCGCUCCCACUUCUAAGGAAGGCAGCAGGCGCGUAACGUUCCCAAUGCUAGGACCCCUAGUGAGGACGUAAUGGGACAUAACAAUACCCCUAUUCGAUAGUGGGUAAUGACAAUGGACGAC